rnacentral:rRNA from 1 species
UAGGGAAUCUUCGGCAAUGGACGAAAGUCUGACCGAGCAACGCCGCGUGAGUGAAGAAGGUUUUCGGAUCGUAAAACUCUGUUGUUAGAGAAGAACAAGGACGUUAGUAACUGAACGUCCCCUGACGGUAUCUAACCAGAAAGCCACGGCUAACUACGUGCCAGCAGCCGCGGUAAUACGUAGGUGGCAAGCGUUGUCCGGAUUUAUUGGGCGUAAAGCGAGCGCAGGCGGUUUCUUAAGUCUGAUGUGAAAGCCCCCGGCUCAACCGGGGAGGGUCAUUGGAAACUGGGAGACUUGAGUGCAGAAGAGGAGAGUGGAAUUCCAUGUGUAGCGGUGAAAUGCGUAGAUAUAUGGAGGAACACCAGUGGCGAAGGCGGCUCUCUGGUCUGUAACUGACGCUGCGGCUCGAAAGCGUGGGGAGCAAACAGG